GUCAAUAUAAUUAAAAUAUUAAUAAUUAAUUAACUCAGAAUUUUGAAUAAAUACAAGAAAAUAGGCUUUAACUUUGAGGUUUUGACGCAGUAGGAGCUCACAUUAAGUCCAGCUUAUGCAGUGUUGAUAAAUUAAUAAUAUUUACAAAGCUGUAUCAAUCCAAGAUUAUUAUACAAGCUGAACAGAACAAUAAUAUAUUAGUUCAAAAUCAAUGUAAUAGUCCAAUUCAAAUUACUAUGCAAAAUUAAUUUAUCAUUCCAAUUAAUAUACUGUAACUAAUAGCUGCCAGAAUUAAUAUAAUAAUCCAAAGUCAACAUUCUCAUAAUCCAAUACCUUAAAACCGAAUCGGAAGAUGACGAGAUAAAAAAACAUCAACCCAAUAUCACUUACAUCCUAAGCGUGUCCAAAAGCUAACAACGAAGUUUAGUUAGUAAUCCAUUAGUCUAAUAAUGAAAUUAAGAGACUAUUUAAACUAGUCAAAGAAAAAUUAGUGACAUAAUUGGCAAAGGAAGUGGAGGGGCAUAAUUUAAAUAAUGAGACUAUCUUGAGACAUAUGCACAUGCGGGUAUGAGGACCAAAUUGCCAUAUUACUAAUCUAAUUUACAAACUUGAAUAAUACAUAAUAGAAGUAGGAACAAAAAUAGAAAACAAGCCCAGGAAAAAUAGUGACGUGGGGAUAACAUCCCACCUGUUUAAACCACUUCUAAUUUGGUGAUAAUAAAAUGUUAAAAUAAAAUUGCAGUACUCAAAAGCAACACUUAUUCCUCAUCCAUUUUCCAAAUUUACAAUGUACAAAAUGGAAAAUUACGACUCUGUAAAUUUUUUUAAAAAAAUGAAACAAAGCUCUUCACGCCCUACCCUACAUGUUCCUUUUUGUUUAUUCCCCAUUCAGAAAAUAGUUGGGAGUUUUUAGGGUAACAACAAACUGAACAUUUUCGUGACUAAUGCAGGAUCUAUUAAAACUCAACAGAAAUCGCAAUAAUCGAUCUUGUUUGCACACUAUAAUAACGACAUUGAACCAAUUCAACAGAAAUGCUUGAAAGCAACAGAAACACAGCACAACAAUAAAUCUAACAAAGCUGACGAACAUCCGAAUUUUUUUGAGUUAAUUUGAAAACUUUUUAAAGAGACGACUUAAAACAGAUAUUAAACAAUGAAUAACAUGAGUGAAACCAACCGAAUUAUUAUGGUUAUUGUGAGUCGACAAUGCCAGUGCAAACCGUGAUGUUUAAGAGGAUCUUUCUCUGAUAGUGUAUCUCGCAAUAUUCAGCGGUGGACUUCAGCGCCCAAACCUCGGUUGGACCGUGGAAAACCCUUGGAUCGAUGAGCGAUGGCGGGACGAGAUCGCGGUAUUUGACGACGGCUAUUGUUGGAGCGACGCGAAUGUUUUAUGGUAGUGGUUCUUAAUCUGCGGUUGCUUUGUCGGAAUAAGGAGAUCGGAAGGAUUUGUGAGGAGUAGCCGUUUGAGAGUUGAAGAAUAAGGAGGGUUUAUGGUGGUGACGAAGGUUCGGCGACGGAGAUGUUAACGGCUAUAGUCCAAGACGGUUGUUGGUUUUGAUGGUAAGUAUGAGGUGUCGGAAGUGAAGGUGAUAUGGUGUUUGGACGGUGGUGUGCGGAGUGUUUACCGGCGAAGGUGAUGAAGAAAGUGUGGUGGAGAGGAAAAGCUAAACAACUUUUCUUUUUCUCUGUUUUCUUUUCGUGAGUGUGUAGUAGGGAGAGAGAUUCGUGAGUGGGUCUGUGAGGAUGUGAGAGGUAUAUGUGGAUCAUAAAUGAGUGGUGGUGUGUAGUGUUAAG
rnacentral:lncRNA from 1 species